CGACCCGCCCGCUUCAAAAGCUUUAAGAACCAGGGGAAGAACCUUCCUGACCCCACCUCACCCGCCGCUCACUCGGACGGGUGACGCACCCCAACUCAACUGGCGCAUAUGCCAUGACGCGGUGCAAGCUCAGCCUCGACAACAGAACACGACCGCAGAAAUGCGGCGGCCCCCGGCCGGGACUGGCAUCCCGAUCGAGGGCCUCACCAACGAGGAAGAGAUCGCUUCCCC
rnacentral:ncRNA from 1 species